rnacentral:lncRNA from 1 species
CAUUCAUUAUAAUCAAUUAUGCUUGUUUCUGUUUCAGCCCACGAACAAAAGAUGAUCUUAGAGCAUAUUUCAUCCUUUUACAGGUAAGAGAGAAGGAAUUUAGUGAAAAUUUUCUAAUUCAGAUCUCAAUAUGUACAUAUGAAAGUGAAAUUAUAUCAAAUGGUAAGUAUCAUUUUGGUCAAUGUUAUUGAUACUUUUUAGAGUUAUAAUGACUUGUAAUCAAUGCUGUAACAAACAAACAUUCAGAAGCUAAAUUAUGGAGUAUUAAAAUUUUAAUAAAGUUCUUGCCUUAGCUGCCAUAGUAUUCAGGCAGUACAAUGGCAGUGCUUCUUCCUUCUCCUUUCAAAUCAUCUUUCUUCCAAUUAACUUUAAUGAGCUCUAAGAUGUUAUCUUAGCAGCAUACUACACUCAUUUUAUUCUUUACAGUUCAUAAAAAUUGUUCAUGUAUAUUAAUUUGUUUAAAGGUAAAAAUACAUUAAAUAAGAUAUAGUGCUUAUUUCAAUAAUGCAAUGCUAUAAAAUCAAUAUUAUGCCCAAUAAAAGGCAAAAAAGAGAAAGGGAGACAGAACAAAAAAGAGAAAGUGGAAAGGGAGAAAAAAUGGCUAAGAGGUAGUUAAGAAGAGAGCGCAAUAAGCUCUGUUCAUGAUGUUCUUCUCUGGAGCCAUCACUACAUGAAGUUAUCAAGUAGGGUCAUUCCCUAAUUUUGAAUUGUCCUGCCAGUAAAUCGGUUUUGAAAAACACAUGAUACUUUCUUGUUUUUCACAAUUUCAAUUCAUUUUUCCAUUAUGUUCACUUUUCACAUGAAAUGAUGAAAUGUGCAUUGUGGUAAAGCUUUACAUUUUGAAGACAUAAGUGGAGGUUUUGCUUAGCACUCCUUCAGUCUCCCUUUCACAUUUAAAAGUUGUUAGAUGCAAUUAUGAGAUUCUCCUCUUAUUCUUUGUGAGAUAUGCAGCUGACUCUCACAGUGGCAAAAAUUUCCCAACUAGCUUUUCACUUUUUUUAGCAUUUUUAAAAUCAAAGAAAGGCUGAAUAUUUUGUUUAAUUGGGUAAUAGUGAUUGCCAGCUUUUAUGAAGGCAUUGAGCUAGAUGUUUUAUAUACACUUUCCUUUUUAAAUACAACAACUCUUAAGAUAGAUUCAAUUAUUCCCAUUUUACAGAUGAGGAAAUUGACAAAGUUUAAGGAAUAUGUCUAAAGGUAAACUGUUAGUAAGUAGUAGAAUUGGCCUCAGACUUGGAUCUGUCUUAACUCCACAGUUCAUGCUGUUUUCACUGUAUCACAGCCUAAAUCAAUCUCUAUUUAUAACUAAAUAACAGAUAUAUUAUUGUUUUAAACUAUUUUAUAAUCUCAAAUUUAGUUUCCUGAAUUUUUCACUUAACUCAUUUAGUGUGUUUCCUUUGACUUAUCUUUUUCAGAAUCCUCAAUUUAAUAACACAUCUACGUAUGUCAUCUAUGCUCACUUGCUACGACAGACAGCUACCUUAGUGGAAGCUGACCAUCAUUUCCUAGUUCACUGGUUUAAAAAGUAAAUCAUUCUAUAAUAUUAAGAACUUUUGUAAUCUCACAGUUUUAAAUUUGAUAGUAAUACUUUUGUAAUAAAAUAUAUUUGAAUGGCUUUAGGUCUUUAGAAAUUAUGCUUUUAUAAUUAAUAAUGCUAAAAAGUCAAUUAUAAAAAUAUAUAUAGUACUACAAAAGUGAUAAGCAUAAGUGUUUUUAGUGUAACUAACCAUUUUGCUUGUGUAAGCUGUUGAGAAUUUCCAUCCACUGUUUUCAAUUUUUAUAUAGCACAUUCAUAUCAUUGGUUUUUCAUGUAUCUCAAAGAUGGUGACUGGUUUUGCUCAGAUCUUACAUUUUAAUGUAUGUUCUUUUUAUUUCCUAUAUGAUUGAUUUAUAACAAAUUUCAUCAUUAUUUAAAUGGUGCUUCCUCCUCAGCUAAAAACAUCAUUAUUGAUGUAUAGGUUAGCCAUCAAUAUCAAGUUGUAAAAGCACAAUACUCUUUUUUCACAGAUCUGUAUCAAUAUUAACAAAGACUUUUCUCUAUGGUAGGUCAAAGCUUAAAAGGCAAAAUAUUUCCAAACUGAACUUAAAUUUAGUCAGUUAUUAUUCACAAUAUUCUACAAAGUCAUCGUAAACACUGAAUUAAAAAAUACUGACUGAGACAAUGCUUCUUAGGAAAAUACAGGGUUAGGUUCCUGGGACUUUCUAAUUGUAUUUUUGUCAAUCAGUCAGUGCACAACUUUGCUUUAUGAAUGUUCUACUUUAAAGACACUUAAGUUGUUGAUUCAUUAACAUUGAACUCAUGGCCAGCAGUAUGAUUGUGCCAGUUUGAAACUUGUCUAAUACAUAUUUUCUCCAUAAGGCACAUUACAUCCUCCUUGUUCAUAGGAACACUGGAUAGCAAUUCGUCAUUAUGCUUAAGGGCCAUUUGAAAUAGCAUCCUCACCAAAAACACACAAAAAUAUGAAAAACAUGUAGAGGACAUUUGUUUACACUCUGAGAGCUAAAAUAAGAAAGCAGAGCAUAAUUUUAUAUGACCUCAACUGGGAAUGUGCAUGUCAACUCAAAAUUUUCACCAUUUCUUGCAUGUUCACAAAGCACAAGUAUUUAUUUUGGGAUUGCAAUUAAAUAUUAGCAAGUAGGCAAAUUUGCAUGUAUAAAGUCUGUGAAUAAUGAAGAUUGAGCAAAUAUUCAAAGUCUUAAAAAUUUAAUUAUUAACCUUAUAAUAAUUUUGGUAUUUAUUUCUUAAUUAAGAAACAGUAUUCAAGGUAAGAUUUUAUCUUUUCAAAUAUUUGGCAACUUAAGAGAUAGAAUUUGAGAGACUAGUCUAAAAUUUUAUGUGUGUAGGAUAUAGUUUGAUAUAAAUAUAUUGCCAAAAUUUAAAAUGUGAAUUUUGAUUAGAAUUAUUUCAAAAUCUUUACCAGAUUAUCCCAGAAGAGGUUCAAACAAUUGGUAGAGAGAUUGCUGCAAUUUAUUUCUUUACGCCUGUUUCCUGCAAAGCCUGAAGAAUUUCCCCCUAUAGCAAAAUGUUCCUGGUGGAUUCCAUCAGCAUCUAAAGUGUUGGCUUUACUUAGUACGUUUUUAUUAUUCUAUCAUUUUCUUUGCUUUUGUUAAAUCUCAGGGACAUUCUUAAGGAUCUCAAAGUACUGUAGAAUCAACAUUAAAUUUUAAACCAUUCCUUUGAAGGAAAAAAUAUAUUUUGUUUUGAUAAUGGAUUUCACAACUAAUUUACAAGCAUGAAAAAAGCUUUAUACCUUUUACUGAGCAAUAGUCUAUAUUAUGGUAUUAAGUGUGUAUAGUUAAUUGCAUAUAAAUGAUCUGCUAAGUGUGAUUCCCAAGAAAACAUGAACUUUAGUUACUGAGGACCCUUAGGAAGAAUUCACUAAUACAGCAAUAUAUGAAUAAAUGGCCAUCUGCAUGCUCUUCUUAGUACUUUUAUGAUCCACAUAGCAAGUUUUUUUUAAAGUCAGAAAUGGUUAGCUGUACUUUGACCACAAUGUUAAAAUUAUCUUUUUCAUUUGGAACUUUAGUUGUUUAAAACAGCAGCCUUUAGGUCAAGGAAAGCCACUGGACAUUAAAAUGGUGUUUUUAUUAUUAAAAGGAAAUUAUGUGCAUGUUGGAAAAGAUCAUUAUGUUAGAAUUUAUCUUUACAGAUACUGCAAACAAUUUGGUUGACCCUCCCCUUAUUCCUUAUACUGAUUUCUAUAAUUCUACAUUGGAUCACAUUGAUCUCAUGGAAGAAUAUCAUACUUGGCAGAGCUUUGGAAACUCUCACAGGUACCAUUUAAUUAUUCAC